rnacentral:rRNA from 1 species
UGGGGAAUAUUGCACAAUGGGCGCAAGCCUGAUGCAGCCAUGCCGCGUGUGUGAAGAAGGCCUUCGGGUUGUAAAGCACUUUCAGCGAGGAGGAAGGCGUUAAGGUUAAUAACCUUGGCGAUUGACGUUACUCGCAGAAGAAGCACCGGCUAACUCCGUGCCAGCAGCCGCGGUAAUACGGAGGGUGCAAGCGUUAAUCGGAAUUACUGGGCGUAAAGCGCACGCAGGCGGUUUGUUAAGUCAGAUGUGAAAUCCCCGAGCUUAACUUGGGAACUGCAUUUGAAACUGGCAAGCUAGAGUCUUGUAGAGGGGGGUAGAAUUCCAGGUGUAGCGGUGAAAUGCGUAGAGAUCUGGAGGAAUACCGGUGGCGAAGGCGGCCCCCCUGGACAAAGACUGACGCUCAGGUGCGAAAGCGUGGGGCAGCAAACAGGAUUAGAUACCCUGGUAGUCCACGCUGUAAACGAUGUCGAUUUGGAGGUUGUGGGCUUGACCCGUGGCUUCCGGAGCUAACGCGUUAAAGUCGA